GACGAACGCUGGCGGCGUGCUUAACACAUGCAAGCCGAACGAUGAAGCCGGAGCUUGCUCUGGUGAAUUAGUGGCGAACGGGUGAGUAACACGUGAGUAACCUGCCCUUGACUCUGGAAUAACUGCGGGAAACUGUAGCUAAUACCGGAUACGACCCUCGGAGGCAUCUCCUGGGGGUGGAAAGAAUUUCGGUCAAGGAUGGACUCGCGGCCUAUCAGCUAGUUGGUGAGGUAAAGGCUCACCAAGGCGACGACGGGUAGCCGGCCUGAGAGGGUGACUGGCCACACUGGGACUGAGACACGGCCCAGACUCCUACGGGAGGCAGCAGUGGGGAAUAUUGCACAAUGGGCGCAAGCCUGAUGCAGCAACGCCGCGUGAGGGAUGAAGGCCUUCGGGUUGUAAACCUCUUUUAGCAGGGAAGAAGCGAAAGUGACGGUACCUGCAGAAAAAGCACCGGCUAACUACGUGCCAGCAGCCGCCGUAA
rnacentral:rRNA from 1 species